GACGAACCGUGCGAACGUUGUUCGGAUUCACUGGGCUUAAAGGGCGCGUAGGCGGAUGUUCAAGUCAGGGGUGAAAUCCCCCAGCUCAACUGGGGAACAGCCUUUGAUACUGGACGUCUCGAGGGAGGUAGGGGCAGGUGGAACUUCCGGUGGAGCGGUGAAAUGCGUAGAUAUCGGAAGGAACGCCGGUGGCGAAAGCGACCUGCUGGACCUCUUCUGACGCUGAGGCGCGAAAGCGUGGGGAUCAAACAGG
rnacentral:rRNA from 1 species